UUUCUUUUUCUGUUUCAGACUUUCCCUAUAUAAAGGGAGUCUUGUAAUAUACAAUGUACAGGUGGUGGGUGACAGACACCACUCUAAACUCUAGAUUCUCAAUUCCAAAUGCUUUAGUUUAAGAUUUUAAUCGCUUUCGUAGUAGAUACGUUCUUGGCUUCACUGGAUUUUUCUGAGGAGCUCAUGAGGGUGACAGGCCGUGAGUUUCUUAAUGAUUUCGGUAACUUGUACUUUUGUUCUUGAAUUUUAAUUGAAAUCUGAUGUUUACUUUCAGUGUUCUUGAUCCCAUUUUACAAUUUUGCUUUUUAAUUUUGAUUCUCGCACAUGACUUUACUUUCCCUG
rnacentral:lncRNA from 1 species